rnacentral:rRNA from 1 species
GUUGAACGCUGGCGGCAGGCUUAACACAUGCAAGUCGAGCGAGCGGCGGACGGGUGAGUAAUGUCGGGGAAACUGCCUGAUGGAGGGGGAUAACUACUGGAAACGGUAGCUAAUACCGCCUACCAUCAUGUGUGCCCAGACGGGAUUAGCUAGUCGGUGGGGUAAUGGCUAACCUAGGCGACGAUCCCUAGCUGGUCUGAGAGGAUGAGCAGCCACACUGGAACUGAGACACGGUCCAGACUCCUACGGGAGGCAGCAGUGGGGAAUAUUGCACAAUGGGCGCAAGCCUGAUGCAGCCAUGCCGCGUGUGUGAAGAAGGCCUUCGGGUUGUAAAGCACUUUCAGCGAGGAGGCGUUACCCGCAGAAGAAGCACCGGCUAACUCCGUGCCAGCAGCCGCGGUAAUUC